rnacentral:lncRNA from 1 species
UGACUGUCAGGCCACCUUAAGCCACAGUACGGAAGAAGCUGUGCUGCCUGUGAGCCCCGUCCAAGGACGUUAAAAGAAGAAGUCAGGCCCCAAAGCCACGGUUUGAGCAAACCGUGCUGCCUGUAGCUCCGUCGUGGGGACGUAAAACCUGGGAGGCUGCAAACUGUGGAAGCUGUACGCACAGUGUAGCAGACUAGUGGUUAGAGGAGACCCCUCCCAUGACACAACGCAGCAGCGGGGCCCGAGCACUGAGGGAAGCUGUACCUCCUUGCAAAGGACUAGAGGUUAGAGGAGACCCCCCGC